rnacentral:tRNA from 1 species
CAAAGGCUGGUCUAGUGGUUAAGACUCUGCACUUCCACUGCAGGGGCAAUGCGUUUGA